ACUAAGCAUAUCAAUAAGCGGAGGAAAAGAAACCAACAGGGAUUGCCCUAGUAACGGCGAGUGAAGCGGCAACAGCUCAAAUUUGAAAUCUGGCGUCUUUGGCGUCCGAGUUGUAAUUUGCAGAGGGCGCUUUGGCAUUGGCAGCGGUCCAAGUUCCUUGGAACAGGACGUCACAGAGGGUGAGAAUCCCGUACGUGGUCGCUAGCCUUUACCGUGUAAAGCCCCUUCGACGAGUCGAGUUGUUUGGGAAUGCAGCUCUAAAUGGGAGGUAAAUUUCUUCUAAAGCUAAAUACUGGCCAGAGACCGAUAGCGCACAAGUAGAGUGAUCGAAAGAUGAAAAGCACUUUGGAAAGAGAGUUAAAAAGCACGUGAAAUUGUUGAAAGGGAAGCGCUUGCAGCCAGACUUGCCUGUAGUUGCUCAUCCGGGUUUCUACCCGGUGCACUCUUCUACGGGCAGGCCAGCAUCAGUUUGGGCGGUUGGAUAAAGGUCUCUGUCAUGUACCUCCUCUCGGGGAGAACUUAUAGGGGAGACGACAUGCAACCAGCCCGGACUGAGGUCCGCGCAUCUGCUAGGAUGCUGGCGUAAUGGCUGUAAGCGGCCCGUCUUGAAACACGGACCAAGGAGUCUAACAUCUAUGCGAGUGUUUGGGUGUCAAGCCCGAGCGCGUAAUGAAAGUGAACGGAGGUGGGAACCUUUCGGGGUGCACCAUCGACCGAUCCUGAUGUCUUCGGAUGGAUUUGAGUAAGAGCAUAGCUGUUGGGACCCGAAAGAUGGUGAACUAUGCUUGAAUAGGGUGAAGCCAGAGGAAACUCUGGUGGAGGCUCGCAGCGGUUCUGACGUGCAAAUCGAUCGUCAAAUUUGGGCAUAGGGGCGAAAGACUAAUCGAACUAUCUAGUAGCUGGUUCCUGCCGAAUUU
rnacentral:rRNA from 1 species